GGGCCUUUAGCUCAGUCGGUAGAGCAGUUGCCUUUUAAGCAAUUGGUCGCGGGUUCGAGUCCCGCAGGGCCCACCA
rnacentral:tRNA from 1 species